rnacentral:rRNA from 1 species
UACAGAGGUCUCAAGCGUUGUUCGGAUUCAUUGGGCGUAAAGGGUGCGUAGGCGGCGCGGUAAGUCGGGUGUGAAAUCUCGGGGCUUAACUCCGAAACUGCAUUCGAUACUGCCGUGCUUGAGGACUGGAGAGGAGAGUGGAAUUUACGGUGUAGCGGUGAAAUGCGUAGAUAUCGUAAGGAAGACCAGUGGCGAAGGCGGGUCUCUGGACAGUUCCUGACGCUGAGGCACGAAGGUCAGGGGAGCAAACGGG